rnacentral:rRNA from 1 species
AGAUUGAACGCUGGCGGCAUGCUUUACACAUGCAAGUCGAACGGUAACAGGCCGCAAGGUGCUGACGAGUGGCGAACGGGUGAGUAAUGUAUCGGAACGUGCCCAGUCGUGGGGGAUAACGCAGCGAAAGCUGCGCUAAUACCACAUACGAUCUAUGGAUGAAAGCGGGGGACCGUAAGGCCUCGCGCGAUUGGAGCGGCCGAUAUCAGAUUAGGUAGUUGGUGGGGUAAAGGCUCACCAAGCCAACGAUCUGUAGCUGGUCUGAGAGGACGACCAGCCACACUGGGACUGAGACACGGCCCAGACUCCUACGGGAGCAGCAGUGGGGAUUUGGAC